CCUACGGGUGGCAGCAGUGGGGAAUAUUGCACAAUGGGCGAAAGCCUGAUGCAGCAACGCCGCGUGAAGGAAGAAGGGUUUCGGCUCGUAAACUUCUAUCAACAGGGACGAAAGAAAUGACGGUACCCGAAGAAAAAGCAUCGGCUAACUCCGUGCCAGCAGCCGCGGUAAUACGGAGGAUGCGAGCGUUAUCCGGAUUUAUUGGGUUUAAAGGGUGCGCAGGCGGAGGUGCAAGUCAGCGGUCAAAUUGCGGGGCUCAACCCCGUACUGCCGUUGAAACUGCAUCCCUUGAGUGCGCGAGAAGUAUGCGGAAUGCGUGGUGUAGCGGUGAAAUGCAUAGAUAUCACGCAGAACUCCGAUUGCGAAGGCAGCAUACCGGCGCGCAACUGACGCUCAUGCACGAAAGCGUGGGUAUCGAACAGGAUUAGAUACCCCAGUAGUC
rnacentral:rRNA from 1 species